ACACUCUGAGCAGUGUCUGUUUAGGGAAGGUUUCCUAGAAGAUAGAAUUGUGCUGGGCUCCCUCGGCCUCACUGACUUUCUCACCUUCUCUCUGCUGCCUUUUGAUCCCUCCUCAGGAAGUGGGAGUGAUGCUGCCUCUCUUCUGACCUCCGCUAAGAAACAGGGAGACCAUUACAUCCUCAGUGGCUCCAAGGCCUUCAUCAGUGGUGCUGGUGAGUCAGACAUCUAUGUGGUCAUGUGCCGAACAGGAGGACCAGGCCCCAAGGGCAUCUCAUGCAUAGUUGUUGAGAAGGGGACCCCUGGCCUCAGCUUUGGCAAGAAGGAGAAAAAGGUGGGGUGGAACUCCCAGCCAACACGAGCUGUGAUCUUCGAAGACUGUGCCGUCCCUGUGGCCAACAGAAUUGGGAGCGAGGGGCAGGGCUUCCUCAUUGCCGUGAAAGGACUGAACGGAGGGAGGAUCAAUAUUG
rnacentral:sRNA from 1 species